CAGCCGAAGUUUUCCGACCAAACUACUCUUUUCUUAGUUCUACUUUAUUUAAAUAUUUGGUUAUUUAUACUAUAUAGUGAGAAGAAUUAAUUUACAGUGUAUACUGAACGUAAUAAAUUAAUUGUCUAGUUGGGGAUUUAUCUGACUUAUAACAUUGUUAAUGUAUUAAGAAUAAUAUGAUACAAAUCGAUUGAAGUAUAGGUUAGGUUUUGAUGUCAAAUAAAAAUAAAUCGAUUUUCAUGUCAAUGCAUUGAUUCAGUAUACAGUAAAUAAUUACAACAUUUUUAUUCUUUAUUGUUUUAACAUUUUUUUUGUUUUAGAGAAUUAAAUUUAAAAUUAUUGACAAUUAUAUUUUUUAUAUUACCAUGGACAUUGAUUUUUGUGAUUUGUCAACUGGUGACUUGCUGAAUAAAUUAAAAGGGUAUAUCGCAGAUGAAGAAACAUUAAAUAUUUUAUAAGGUAUAUAGCUACGAAAGUAAAUUAUGUUAUUAUUUAAUUGCUGUUUUUAUUUUGUGGGUAAAUAAUUACCAGUUGGUCACUGUUUUUUGAAUAAAUCCAUUUUUAUUUUUACCAAGAUCUUACUCACAAUCUUUCAUAUUUCUCAUUAAUUUUUGUCUCUGAAUACUCUUUGUUUUCUAGAAAUUGUAUGAUAUAAGUCUAAUUGAUUUUUUUCACUGUGUAGUACAAAAUAUUUUGUACUUACAAAUCUUGAUUCCUAUCUUUAUUUAACCUCUAUAAUUUUUGAAUUCAAGUAUUUUUCAUGGAACAAAUUAGAUGAAAUAGCACGCUUUCGAUUAAAAAAAAUCUUUGAAUUGCUUCAAUAUAUCGAUUUAUAUAAUAAACAGUUUAUUGCUUCAGGUGGAGAAAUGGCAGAAAAUUCCAUUGAUUAUUGAUCAUUAAUCAAUAAGUGAUUUACAUGUGUUGAACAAAAUUAAUUAAAAACUUCUUCAAAUAACGUAUUUCAAUUAAAUAGAAUUUCCACACGGAGAGAAAAUUCAUAGAAAAAUUACUGUGCUCAGCACUACAAUCGACGUGUGAAAGCCGAACAUAGUCAAUUUUGUACGGCAAAAAUAUAAAAAUUAUAAUUAAUCAUAGAAAAUUUAAAGGAUAAAAUAUUCUUUCUUAAAAUUCAGCUUUGUAAAAUUUGUAAAACAGCACAGUAAAAAGUUCCAUUCCCGACAGAAAAAUAUUUUUUGAUUGUUUUUCUUACAAAAAUUACUAUUUAAGCUGCCAUAGAGUCCUAGACGAACUAAUAUAUUUUACCAUGCUGUCUUAUAAUUUUUCAAAUGCUAUCUGCUAAUAGUAGAAAGAAAGAAAGAGAAAGAAGGUAUCAACGCUGUUGAGCAUGAGAAUUAUUUUAAACAAAAAAAAUGAUAUCUCAUUAACUAUUAAUCGUAGAGAAGCCUAUAAGGGGUCAUUUUGUUCGUAAAGCGAUUUUCUAAAAAUUGUACGCAUUAUGUCUAGAUCUCGGAUUCAUAGUUUUCGAAAUAUUCUACUAUUAAGUUAAAACAACGUGCAUUCUGCUAUUAACAUAAGAAAGAAUCGAAGGUCGGAAAAGAUCGGGCAUCUUCGAAGUUUUUCGAAGCAGGUUUGAAUACGUUUAUUGUUCCUCAGUGCGUAAUUGACUGUGUUAUCAAUAGAGAGUGAUACAUUAUACAGUGACACAUAAAAGUGCGUCAUUUUGUAACGACUAAAAUGUUUUAUCUUACAGGAUUUACAAGGGCAUUUUGAACGUCCAGAAAUUAUCAACAACCCUAUAUACCAACUUUUAUUAAAUUCAGCUGAUGGCAAAAGUGUUUUAAAAUAUUAUCGAGAUAAUGGAUGCUUGAAGAAAACCUUAAGAAAUUUACUCAGCAGACUUAUACUCAGCACUGAAAAAGAUAGACAAUUAGAAACAGUUCUCCAAGUGCCAUAAAGAUGCUCCUAUUUUUUACAAAGUAGAUAAUAUUAUAGUUUGUAGCAAUAUUAAAGUAUGUCUUAUUGUUAAAAAAUUAAUAAGUACAUUCCUCUACGAAAAAACUGAAUGUUAUCGAUUGUACAACGAUCAGUAUACGUGGGAUGUACUAAAUUUGGAUGACCUAUUUAGCUUUAAGAUUACGAAUCUUGUAAGAGCAUCUAAUGGUGCGAAAUUUAUUCUCAAAAAUUGGUUUUAAUUAAAAUAAAGAUAUAUUUAAUAAUUCAUAAAAGUGUUUUAUCAUUAUCAAAUUCAACCGCGAUUCCUUAAUUUCCCUAAAUCAAAAAAACAUUAUUAAUUUUUUACGUUACAGCCUUUUUUUGAAUCAAAAAUAAAUAAUAAGCUGUAGAGAAAUUAAUACAUUGAUAUAUAAAUAUUGUUAAGCAUACUUAGAAAUUUUACUAAAUCGAUAAGGAAGUUUUCUAAUACAGCACAUUAAAUUUUACCAUGCCAGCACAACAAUUUUUAUGAAGCCAUGACUAAUACUCUUUAUGUUUCAAUUUGAUAAUAUUUACGUUUCAAUUUAAUAAUAUUUACAUGAUCGUAAAAUACUUUUUACUUUGGUCGUCGAUCGCGCACGCAUUAUAAGAGAGCAUGGUAAUUUUUCUGAAAUUUUCUCUACAAAAAUUAUAUGAUUUUUCUCUCCGUGCAGAAUUCCCACCGGUAUUUAGAAAUUCAGUUGAUAUUAUUAUCCAUCAUGGUGAACUUAAAUUGUUAUAUGUGCAAUGAACGUGUUCCUGGUUCUCUAAAUGGUCUUUCUAAUCAUCUGAUUGUCGUUCAAAAAAUGUUCAAAGAUUCAGCAAACAAUUUUUCAUUAAAAUUCCCAACAUUUUAUACAAAGCGAAUUAUCGCUUAUGCUGAACAAUUUUCAUCUGAACUAUUUAAAAAAUCCAAAAUUAUAGAAAAUGGUGCGUAUUGAAAUUUUUAACAGAGCAUUCUAUUAUUAGUAAUAGAAUUAAAGGAAAGGGAAAAAAGAGAGUGAGUUUUGGAGCAAUAAAUAUUUUCAUCUAAAGUUACAAAUUACUAUUUCGCUAUAUUUAUUUUUAUUAUUUCAAUAUGGAACGAUCUCGAUUUUUUUAAAUAUUAGGCUCUUGAGGAAACAGAUAAUGAAGAAGAUAAUACACCUGGUGUAGAUUUUCCGAACCCUUAUUUACUACGAAUCAUAUCAGAAAAUAUUAAUAUAUCAAAUUAUGUGGCUGAUAUUAGAAAUAAAGCAACUGAAAAUGUUCAGCCAUACAUGAUUAUGGUAAAUGGUCAAGGUCUUCGUCAUAUUUUUAUCCAGGGAGACGAAUGGAUUAUUGAGAUCCCUGACAAUGCAGAUUUGAUAACUGCCUUCGAUAUUCUUUUUAAACUCUUUUAUGUGCUACAUGUGGAAUUUCCUCAUAAGUUGGACCAUUUUUAUAAUUUCAUGGCCGUAUAUAUUUAUAAAAUGGACAUAAAGCCUCAUAAUGUAGUUGCUUCUCUUCAUGUUAAUAUGAAGAAUAUUAAUAUUAAUACUGAUUAAGAUUAAUAAAACAUAGAA